GAUGAACGCUGGCGGCGUGCCUAAUACAUGCAAGUCGAGCGAACAGAUAAGGAGCUUGCUCCUUUGACGUUAGCGGCGGACGGGUGAGUAACACGUGGGUAACCUACCUAUAAGACUGGAAUAACUCCGGGAAACCGGGGCUAAUGCCGGAUAACAUUUAGAACCGCAUGGUUCUAAAGUGAAAGAUGGUUUUGCUAUCACUUAUAGAUGGACCCGCGCCGUAUUAGCUAGUUGGUAAGGUAACGGCUUACCAAGGCAACGAUACGUAGCCGACCUGAGAGGGAGAUCGGACAGCCUGGAACUGAGACACGGUACAGACUCCUACGGGAGGAAGCAGUAGGGACUCCUACGCAAUGGGCGAAAGCCUGACGGAGCACAGCCGCGUGAGUGAUGAAGCUCUUAGGAUGGUAAAACUAUGUUAGUCGGGAAGAACAAAUGUGUAAGUAACUGUGAACGUAUUGACGGUACCUAAUCAGAAAGCCACGGCUAACUCCGUG
rnacentral:rRNA from 1 species